rnacentral:rRNA from 1 species
UCAAGCUACAAAGGGUCUUUGGUGAAUGCCUUGGCGCUGGGAGCCGAUGAAGGACGUGGCAGACUGCGAAAAGCCUCGGGAAGCCGUCAAGCAGGCGUUGAUCCGGGGAUGUCCGAAUGGGGAAACCCGGCUGGGGUAAUGCCCAGCCACACUGGUCUGAACACAUAGGGCCAGGAGAGGCAACCGGGGGAAUUGAAACAUCUCAGUACCCCGAGGAAAGUAAAGCAACAGCGACUCCCUGAGUAGCGGCGAGCGAAACGGGAAGAGCCCAAACCAGCACGGUGUCAUAGGUCGACGCCGUUGCCGUGCUGGGGUUGUGGGACCCACCUGACGGUGCGUCGAAGCCGUCAAGGAGUUACAAACUCAGGUGUUAGCCGAACAUGCCUGGAAAGGCAGGCCGUAGGAGGUAACAGCCCUGUAGGCGAAAACACUCUGAGCUCCUGGUGGAGUUCCCAAGUAGCACGGGGCCCGUGAAAUCCCGUGUGAAUCUGCGAGGACCACCUCGUAAGGCUAAGUACUACCCAGCGACCGAUAGUGAACUAGUACCGUGAGGGAAAGGUGAAAAGCACCCCGGUGAGGGGAGUGAAAUAGAACCUGAAACCAUGGACCUACAAGCAGUCGGAGGAUCACUUCGGUGAUCUGACGGCCUGCCUUUUGAAGAAUGAGCCAACGAGUUAGCAGUACGUGGCAAGGUUAAGGCGUGAGCCGUAGCCGUAGCGAAAGCGAGUCUGAACAGGGCGUUCAGUCGCGUGCUCUAGACCCGAAGCCGAGUGAUCUAUCCAUGGGCAGGGUGAAUCGAGGGUAAGACCUCGUGGAGGCCCGAACCCACCAAGGUUGAAAACUUGGGGGGAUGACCUGUGGAUAGGGGUGAAAGACCAAGCAAACUCGGCGAUAGCUGGUUCUCCCCGAAAUAGCUUUAGGGCUAGCGUCGCAUGUUCCACCGUGGAGGUAGAGCACUGAUUGGGUUAGGGGGCCAACAAGCUUACCGACCCCAGUCAAACUCCGAAUACCACGGUGCCACAGUGCGGCAGUCAGACCAUGAGGGAUGAGCUUCAUUGGUCGAAAGGGAAACAGCCCAGAUCGCCAGCUAAGGCCCCUAAAUCAGGACUAAGUGGGGAACGAUGUGGAGUCGCCCAAACAGCCAGUAGGUUGGCUUAGAAGCAGCCAUCCUUUAAAGAGUGCGUAACAGCUCACUGGUCGAGUGAUUCUGCGCGGAAAAUGUAACGGGGCUCAAGUCCUGUGCCGAAGCUGCGAGAUUCCAUCUUUGCUCGGCCCGUCUCCUUCGGGAGCCGGGUCCAGGCGAUGGGAUCGGUAGGGGAGCGUCGAGUGGCCAGCGAAGCGGCGGCGUAAGCCAGCCGUGGAGGCCACUGGAGUGAGAAUGUUGGCAUGAGUAGCGAAAGAGGAGUGAGAAUCUCCUCCGCCGAAUGUCCAAGGGUUCCUGGGGAAGGUUCGUCCGCCCAGGGUUAGUCGGGACCUAAGGUGAGGCCGCGAGGCGUAAUCGAUGGAUAACUGGUUGAUAUUCCAGUACUACCACGCACGCGCCAAGGCUGAAUCUAGUUUGCUAAGGAAAGCCCUUCGGGGCCUACCGACCCAGCAAGUACUAGGUCAGCAAUGGAGUGACACGGAAGGGUAAGUGGACCCGGGCGAUGGUUGACCCGGGGUAAGCGUGUAGAUCGAGAUCCAGGCAAAUCCGGAUCUCAUGAAGAUCGAGGCGCGAUGCCGAGCCGCAUUAGGUGAAGCCACCGAACGCCCAUGCCGUCAAGAAAAGCUUCUAGCGAGAUUCUUGGGCACCAGUACCCCAAACCAACACAGGUGAACAAGUAGAGAAUACUAAGGCGAGCGAGAAAACUCUGGUUAAGGAAUGCGGCAAAAUGGCUCCGUAACUUCGGGAGAAGGAGCGCCCCGGUAAGGUGUAGGACUUCGCGUCCGAAGCCUGAGGGGGUUGCAGAGACCAGGCCCAAGCGACUGUUUACUAAAAACACAGGAGGGUGCUAAGUCGCAAGACGACGUAUACCCUCUGACGCCUGCCCGGUGCUGGAAGGUCAAGUGGAUCGGUUAGCUCUUCGGAGCGAAGCUGUGAAAUCAAGCCCCAGUAAACGGCGGCGGUAACUAUAACCGUUGAUCAGUAUCCAAAAAGGCGGUUACAAAACUUGGCUAUAUGCUGGAACAUCCGAGUAUCCAACGGUACUAAUCCGUGUCACAGCGAUGUGAUAUUUCUAUGACGCGGGAAGUGAAAAUCCGUUUGGUGCGGACAAUCAGCAGGAAACCGAAGCGAGGAGAUAUACACUCCAUGCGUCCCAACGCACUCACGUUGUUGGGAUAGCACAAGUGGUGUGUGGAAAUCCUCGACAGAGCGCUUCAGGCGUUCUGCAGGAUCAAUUCGAUUCUGUGCAGGGAUCCUCAGAGACUAUACGCCAAGCCCCUCAGUGAGAUAGGAGGGGAUGAUAUAGUCCGAUCCUCAUGGCGACAUGGGGAGUCAGGCAGAAAUGACCUGGCCACGUUCCAUGCGGUCCGUCCACGCACCGACAUAUGGAACGAAGUAACAACAAUGCCUAAGGUAGCGAAAUUCCUUGUCGGGUAAGUUCCGACCUGCACGAAUGGCGUAACGACUCGGGCACUGUCUCAACCAGAGACUCGGCGAAAUUGCAAUGUGAGUAAAGAUGCUCACUUCCCGCAACAGGACGGAAAGACCCCGGGACCUUUACUGCAGCUUGACAUUGAAGCAUUUUAUGUGAUGUGUAGGAUAGGUGGGAGUCUGUGAAGCGGUCGCGCUAGCGGUCGUGGAGACAAACUUGAAAUACCACCCUUCCCAUAACAUGCUUCUAACCUCGGUCCAUUAUCUGGAUCAGGAACAGUGUCUGGUGGGCAGUUUCACUGGGGUGGUGGCCUCCUAAAAUGUAACGGAGGCGCCCAAAGGUUCCCUCAGCCAGGUCGGCAAUCUGGCGUUGAGUGCAAAAGCACAAGGGAGCUUGACUGCGAGACCUACAAGUCGAGCAGGUACGAAAGUAGGGUUUAGUGAUCCCUCGGCGGCACGUGGGUGCGCCGAGGCCAACGGCUAAAAGGUACCCCGGGGAUAACAGGCUCAUACCGCCCAAGAGUCCAUAUCGACGGCGGUGUUUGGCACCUCGAUGUCGGCUCGUCUCAUCCUGGGGCUGAAGCAGGUCCCAAGGGUCGGGCUGUUCGCCCGUUAAAGAGGCACGCGAGCUGGGUUUAGAACGUCGUGAGACAGUUCGGUCCCUAUCCGUUGUGGGCGCAGGAGAUUUGAGGAGAGUUGUCCCUAGUACGAGAGGACCGGGAUGAACGUACCUCUGGUGUGCCAGUUGUCCUGCCAAGGGCACGGCUGGUUUGCUACGUACGGAACGGAUAAGCGCUGAAAGCAUCUAAGCGCGAAGCCGGCUCCGAGAUGAGAUCUCCCACUGUAUUAAACAGGUAAGACCCCUUGUAGACGACAAGGUUGAUAGGCCGGACGUGGAAGCGCAGUAAUGCGUGAAGCUGACCGGUACUAAUAGGUCGAGGGCUUGAAUUU